rnacentral:rRNA from 1 species
UACGUAGGGGGCAAGCGUUGUCCGGAUUUAUUGGGCGUAAAGAGCUCGUAGGCGGUUCGACAAGUCGGGUGUGAAAACUCCGGGCUCAACCCGGAGACGCCACCCGAUACUGUCGUGACUGGAGUCCGGUAGGGGAGUGGGGAAGUCCUGGUGUAGCGGUGAAAUGCGCAGAUAUCAGGAGGAACACCGGUGGCGAAGGCGCCACUCUGGGCCGGUACUGACGCUGAGGAGCGAAAGCGUGGGUAGCAAACAGG